UCUUGAUUUGAUUCUUUCUAUGCUAUGGGUGGGUGGGUGGUGGGGUGGUGCGUGCAUGCAUGGUGGCCGUUCGUUCUUAGUUGGUGGAGCGAUUUGUCUGGUUAAUUCCGUUAACGAACGAGAACUCAGCCUGCUAACUAGCUAUGCGGAGCCAUCCCUCCGCAGCUAGCUUCUUCGAGGGACUAUCACCCUUUAGGCGAUGGAAGUUUGAGGCAAUAACAGGUAUGUGAUGCCCUUAGAUGUUCUGGGCCACACGCGCGCUACACUGAUGCAUUCAACGAGUAUAUAGCCUUGGCCGACAGG
rnacentral:ncRNA from 1 species